rnacentral:rRNA from 1 species
UACGUAGGGUGCAAGCGUUGUCCGGAAUUAUUGGGCGUAAAGAGCUCGUAGGCGGUCUGUCGCGUCGGCUGUGAAAUCCCGAGGCUCAACCUCGGGGUCUGCAGUCGAUACGGGGCAAACUAGAGUAUUGCAGGGGGAGACUGGAAUUCCUGGUGUAGCGGGUGAAAAUGCGCAGAUAUCAGGAGGAACACCGGUGGCGAAGGCGGGGUCUCUGGGGCAAU